rnacentral:rRNA from 1 species
GAUGAACGCUAGCUACAGGCUUAACACAUGCAAGUCGAGGGGAAACGACAUCGCAAGCUUGCUUUUGAUGGGCGUCGACCGGCGCACGGGUGAGUAACGCGUAUCCAACCUGCCCGCCACUUGGGGAUAACCUUGCGAAAGUAAGACUAAUACCCAAUGAUAUCCCACGAAGACAUCUGAAUGGGAUUAAAGAUUUAUCGGUGAUGGAUGGGGAUGCGUCUGAUUAGCUUGUUGGCGGGGUAACGGCCCACCAAGGCAACGAUCAGUAGGGGUUCUGAGAGGAAGGUCCCCCACAUUGGAACUGAGACACGGUCCAAACUCCUACGGGAGGCAGCAGUGAGGAAUAUUGGUCAAUGGGCGAGAGCCUGAACCAGCCAAGUAGCGUGCAGGAAGACGGCCCUAUGGGUUGUAAACUGCUUUUAUAAGGGAAUAAAGUGGGUCACGUGUGACUUUUUGCAUGUACCUUAUGAAUAAGGACCGGCUAAUUCCGUG